rnacentral:misc_RNA from 1 species
UGGAUCUUCUUCCAACUGGCCUGGUAAAUCUGGGGCUCCCUCUAAUGGUUUCCUGACAUCGACGACCACCCUGGAUUGGUUCCUGUCACGACGGAUGCCAACUGCUGGAUGAAUCGCGUGAUUGAACUUAUAAUGCCCGUGGAAUGUGUACCGGAUGUGCAAUUGCUGGAAACGUCCUUUUGGGAUCAUUAAUUAAUUUCACAACGCUGUUGCCUGGAUGUGCAACUUAUGAUACCUUUGACCUAAACCCGAUCUAAUUGACAACGGCCUACCUGGAUGACUUAUAAACCAUGUCACUUACUUCAAUGGAAUUAAUGUCUGCAACAAUGCUGUAAUGAUUACGCCCUCUUGUGUCGGGAAUAUGAAAUCUAACUUUGGAUUCUCGUACCUGGAUUGGGAAAACUGAUUGUGAUGUGAAUAUUGAACUGUUGCCAUUUUGAAACCAAACAUUUUCUAACUUUGUGUACCUGGAUUCUUUGACAACAAUGGCCUUAACCUGGGCAAAACUGUGCUGUCUCCGCCAACAUAUCCUUCCUCAUGCCCUCCGCUGUUUUUCCAUCUCCCCUGGAUUGCAUUCUUAUCCAUUUGAUGAACAGAUCAAAGAAGAGGUUAAUAAACUGUUAGAUUUGAAGGCGCAGCUAGGAGAUGGACCUACUCAGAAAUAUGUCCUCAAAACUGCAAAGGGUACCAGGGAUUACACACCCAGGCAGAUGGCAAUCAGAGAGGGUGUUUUCAAGGUGAUCAUAGAUACCUUCAAACGCCAUGGAGCCGAGACCAUCGACACACCGGUCUUUGAGCUGAAGGAAACCCUGACAGGGAAGUACGGGGAAGACUCCAAGCUCAUCUACGAUCUGAAAGACCAAGGAGGGGAACUCCUCUCACUCAGAUAUGAUCUCACUGUUCCGUUUGCUCGCUAUGUGGCAAUGAAUAAGAUUGCCAAGAUCAAGAGAUAUCACAUAGCAAAGGUUUAUAGGAGAGAUAACCCUGCAAUGACCAGAGGAAGAUAUAGAGAAUUCUACCAAUGUGAUUUUGACAUCGCUGGUCAGUACGAUGCCAUGAUACCUGAUGCCGAGUGUGUAAAGAUCGUCCAUGAGAUCCUUACAAACCUCAAAUUAGGAGACUUCGUUAUCAAGGUAAAUCACAGGCAGAUAUUGGAUGGAAUGUUUGAAGCAUGCGGUGUACCAGAAGAUAAGUUUAGGAUGGCAUGUUCAGCAGUUGACAAGCUCGACAAGACUUUCUGGGAAGAUGUGCGAGCUGAAAUGAUAGAUGAGAAAGGAAUUGAUCCGGUGGCAGCUGACAGGAUCGGUGUCUUUGUCCAACAAAAUGGUGGUCAAGAACUGGUUGAUAAACUAUUGAAUGAAUCAGCUCUCAAGGAUAACAAGUCUGCUAAACAAGGUCUGGAAGCUAUGAGACUACUACUCAAGUACUGCGAGAUCUUUGGCGUGCUUGACAAGGUAUCCUUCGACAUGAGCUUAGCGAGAGGAUUGGAUUAUUACACAGGUGUGAUAUAUGAAGCCGUGCUCAAGGGGGCGGAGUGCUUACCGACCAAGACGGGGGAACAGGUGGGCGUCGGUUCCGUCGCCGGUGGUGGUCGCUAUGACAACCUUGUGGGCAUGUUUGAUGCCAAGAACAAAAAGGUACCUUGUGUUGGCGUUAGUAUCGGUAUCGAGAGAGUGUUCUCCAUAAUGGAAGCCAAGGCUCAACUCUCGGAGGACGUUGUGAGGACGAUUGAGACACAGGUCCUGGUCGCUUCAGCUCAACCCAACAUGCUUGAAGAGAGAAUGAAACUAUGUAAUGAACUAUGGUCAGCUGAUAUCAAGGCUGAGAUGUCAUACAAGAAGAACCCUAAGAUGUUAGAUCAGUAUCAACAGGCUGAGAAGUACAGUAUUCCUCUACUAGCCGUCAUAGGUGAACAAGAACUCAAAGAUGGGUUUGAAUCACCUUCAGUGAUAGUUCUAGUUUUAAACAGUAUAUUUAUUGAAACUUUUCCCCAUUCUUGUAGGCUGAGAUGUCAUACAAGAAGAACCCUAAGAUGUUAGAUCAGUAUCAACAGGCUGAGAAGUACAGUGUUCCUCUACUAGCCAUCAUAGGUGAACAAGAACUCAAAGAUGGGUUUGAAUCACCUUCAGUGAUAGUUCUAGUUUUAAACAGUAUAUUUGUUGAAACUUUUCCCCAUUCUUGUAGGCUGAGAUGUCAUACAAGAAGAACCCUAAGAUGUUAGAUCAGUAUCAACAGGCUGAGAAGUACAGUAUUCCUCUACUAGCCGUCAUAGGUGAACAAGAGCUCAAGGAUGGUGUCGUCACUCUUAGAAAUUCUGCAACAAGGGUGGAGG